rnacentral:rRNA from 1 species
UUAACGCGAAGAACCUUACCUACCCUUGACAUGGUCGGAAUCCUGAAGAGAUUCGGGAGUGCUCGAAAGAGAACCGGCGCACAGGUGCUGCAUGGCUGUCGUCAGCUCGUGUCGUGAGAUGUUGGGUUAAGUCCCGCAACGAGCGCAACCCUUGUCCUUAGUUGCUACGCAAGAGCACUCUAAGGAGACUGCCGGUGACAAACCGGAGGAAGGUGGGGAUGACGUCAAGUCCUCAUGGCCCUUAUGGGUAGGGCUUCACACGUCAUACAAUGGUCGGAACAGAGGGUUGCCAACCCGCGAGGGGGAGCUAAUCCCAGAAAACCGAUCGUAGUCCGGAUUGCACUCUG